UACGAAGGGGGCUAGCGUUGUUCGGAAUUACUGGGCGUAAAGGGCUCGUAGGCGGCCAACUAAGUCGGACGUGAAAUCCCUCGGCUUAACCGGGGAACUGCGUCCGAUACUGGAUGGCUGGAGGUUGGGAGAGGGAUGCGGAAUUCCAGGUGUAGCGGUGAAAUGCGUAGAUAUCUGGAGGAACACCGGUGGCGAAGGCGGCAUCCUGGACCAAUUCUGACGCUGAGGAGCGAAAGCCAGGGGAGCAAACGGG
rnacentral:rRNA from 1 species